UAGGGAAUCUUCGGCAAUGGACGAAAGCCUGACCGAGCAACGCCGCGUGAGUGAAGAAGGCCUUCGGAUCGUAAAACUCUGUUGUUAGAGAAGAACAAGGACGUUAGUAACUGAACGUCCCCUGACGGUACCUAACCAGAAAGCCACCGCUAACUACGUGCCAGCAGCCGCGGUAAUACGUAGGUGGCAAGCGUUGUCCGGAUUUAUUGGGCGUAAAGCGAGCGUAGGCGGUUUCUUAAGUCGGAUGUGAAAGCCCCCGGCUCAACCGGGGAGGGUCAUUGGAAACUGGGAGGCUUGAGUGCGGAAGAGGAGAGUGGAAUUCCAGGUGUAGCGGUGAAAUGCGUAGAUAUAUGGAGGAACACCAGUGGCGAAGGCGGCUCUCUGGUCUAUAACUGACGCUGAGGCGCGAAAGCGUGGGGAGCAAACGGG
rnacentral:rRNA from 1 species